rnacentral:lncRNA from 1 species
AUGAAAGAAACGCAGAGCGAAGGGUCCUUGGCCCAAACACAGGAUGGCAUGACCCAGCCAGGCACUUGGCUUUCUGGAAGGACCCUGUGCCCUUGCCGCCUGGCAGGUUCGACCAUCUGGUGGCCAUCGAGCUCCCGGGAAGGGCUGUGCGUGGCAAUUACUACAAUGCGGGAGAUGAAGAUCCAGCCCUUGGUGGACCCUGUGGGUAAUCCUUUCAGAUCACAGAGGAUUCCUGGAAUCUCGUCGAGGUCCUACGCCUCUCAAGGACUCUGUAAAGUGAGGACAACAGGGCCCUGGACAGGACACCCUGGGAGCAAACACGAUGAACUGCAUGGAUGCCGAACAGCAGAGACAGAUGUAGACAAGACACAGAGGCCAGGGGCAGACCAGCCAGAAGAAUCUAGAAGGACAGAGGAAAAUUGCUUCCUUUGUGACAGUUGUUGGCACAGUAUGAGACCUCAGUUUUACUGGCUGGAUACUACUCACCCUGAAGCUGCUGCAGCUGAGAAAUCUGUGGACAACUGAUGAAAGCGGGCAGCUAGUUCGAGUUCUUACCUGUUGGUCAGCCUCCCAGAUCUCUGCUUGCGGGUCUGGUGGAAGUGAGAGUGACCAGAGCCCUUUGUCUCUUUUCUACAAUUAAAUUAACAGGAGAGGAGUUCCCGUCGUGGCGCAGUGGUUAACGAAUCCGACUAGGAACUAUAAGGUUGCGGGUUCGGUCCCUGCCCUUGCCCAGUGGGUUAACGAUCCGGCGUUGCCGUGAGCUGUGGUGUAGGUUGCAGACGCGGCUCGGAUCCCGCGUUGCUGUGGCUCUGGCGUAGGCCGGUGGCUACAGCUCCGAUUCAACCCCUAGCCUGGGAACCUCCAUAUGCCAUGGGAGCGGCCCAAGAAAUAGCAACAACAACAACAACAAAAGACAAAAAAAAAAAAAAAAAUUAACAGGAGAAAAUAUCUGUGGAGCUAGUUCCUUGGACCCAGCAACUCUUGGUUUGAAAAUCGGCAGAGUGCUCUGGAUUUGUUGAUCCUUUUCCUCCCAAAGAUGGUUAUUGUUUUUCUGUAUCUGUCUAUUGUGUUGUUUGUCAUAAGAAGGAAAUUCCAUCCGGCAGGAUGCAGGCAUAGGCCCUUUAAGCCUGUUGUGCAGCCUAGCCCUGCAGACUGGUGAGUUCGAAGGUCUCACCAAAAAACCAGCAUCUAUUUAGACAAACUUCGCCAUGAGUUCAUAUGUACAAGAUAAGAGCUAUUGGCAAGGAAUAUCUUACAGGCACAGCUGGGCCGCUGGUGGAUAUUGGUUGAGCAUUUAAGGCCAUCAGGGCACUUGCCAUCUCAAGAAGGCACCUGUGAAAGGACAAGUUGGUUAUGGGGUGGGUUAGAUCCACACUAUGUCACCUGCCGAUCUCAAAGAUAUGUCCAUGCCGCAAGGGACACUGUAAAAUACCACAGUCCUCAGCCUCCCUCUACGUCCCUCUUGGAUAUUAGUUUGCCUCCAAGAAACCUAAAACUUUGCUUAAAGCUGUUAACGUGCAUAGAAGAAAAAAAACUGGAUGAGGUUUCUCCAGUUUGGNAUUUGGAGCUGGAGCUGCCGGCCUACACCACAGCCAUAGUAAUGCAGGAUCUGAGCCGAGUCUGUGACCUACACCACAGCUCACGGCAACGCCCCAUCCUUAACACACUAAGGCGGCACAAGAAAUGGCAAAAAGACCAAAAAAAAAAGAUUGACAACAGGGGAGGCCCCUCUGUGAUCAGUGAGUUAAGAACCCAUCUGCAGCAGCUCAGGUUGCUGCAGAGGUGUGGGUUUGAUCCCCAGCCCAGUGAAGUGGUUAAAGGAUCCAGCGUUGCCGCAGCUGCAGUAUAGGUUCCAGCUGUGGCUCGCANAACAACAACAACAACAACAACAAAACAACAACAAAAAAAAAAACAAAAAAGAAAAAAAAAAUUGGCAAAUGGCCUGGGUCCCUUGGCUUGACCCCUUCCUGUGGACCCAAAGCCUUUUAGGCAAGAGUGGGUAAAUAGCUAGGGGAUGAAGAGACGUUUCUGGGACUCCUUGAUGGUGGAAACUCACAAGCUGAGAUACCAAAACCCAUUAAUGGAACCCUGACUCAGACGACAAUGAGACGAAGAAAAGCAAAAAGUACAAGGGUUGAUAAGAUUAUGAAGAUUGAAAUGUUUGAGGUGUUACAUGAAGAGGUUAAACGAUGUUGCCUGAAUGUCUUAUGGACAAGGAUGUUGUGUCUGGCCGGGAACACGUCUCCACCCAGUACUGUGGGACUGAGACCUCUGGGUGGGGUCCUAGUGGGGACUAUGGUCAAAGGUAGAAGAGUUGACAAAUUAAGGUGAAAGCUUAUAAGAAAACUGGCAUUUUGAAUGGGCUUUAUGUAAGGUGGUGCUGUCUCUUCUGCCUGAAUAUUUUGUGGGGGUGGACAUGGGGUCUCACUGGAGAAUGUUUCCACUACUUGAUAGUCCAAGACCAGGUGGGCAUAUAAAAUCCACCCUUUGGGCAAUGUUAAUUAAACAUGCUGAUGAGAACCUGAGCCCAUGCAAUGUGAGAUGAAAACUGGGGGCUAAUACUUGGACCUGAUAGGUGCAAUAGUGGAAGCUUUUUGCCCCUUGGGUGAAUUGGUCUGGGGGGGACUUGAGCUCUUAUAAAGAGGGCCUUUGUUGAACGCCUUGUGUGGACUUUUGAAGGUAUGACACAUUGAACUGUGGCAUUCUAGAACAUAGAAAUCUGUUGAUUUCCAUUUUAGUUGGAAAUCUCUCUAAUAUAAAUAAGCAAAUUAAAUAAAGUAAGUUGGAAGGGCA